AUUGAACGCUGGCGGCAUGCCUUACACAUGCAAGUCGAACGGCAGCACGGGAGCAAUCCUGGUGGCGAGUGGCGAACGGGUGAGUAAUACAUCGGAACGUGCCCAGUAGUGGGGGAUAGCUCGGCGAAAGCCGGAUUAAUACCGCAUACGACCUACGGGUGAAAGCGGGGGACCGCAAGGCCUCGCGCUAUUGGAGCGGCCGAUGUCAGAUUAGCUAGUUGGUGGGGUAAAAGCCUACCAAGGCGACGAUCUGUAGCUGGUCUGAGAGGACGACCAGCCACACUGGGACUGAGACACGGCCCAGACUCCUACGGGAGGCAGCAGUGGGGAAUUUUGGACAAUGGGGGCAACCCUGAUCCAGCCAUGCCGCGUGCGGGAAGAAGGCCUUCGGGUUGUAAACCGCUUUUGUCAGGGAAGAAACGCGCUGAGCUAAUACCUCGGCGUAAUGACGGUACCUGAAGAAUAAGCACCGGCUAACUACGUGCCAGCCGCCGCCGUAAAAC
rnacentral:rRNA from 1 species